AUUGAACGCUGGCGGCAGGCCUAACACAUGCAAGUCGAGCGGAUGAAGGGAGCUUGCUCCUGGAUUCAGCGGCGGACGGGUGAGUAAUGCCUAGGAAUCUGCCGGGUAGUGGGGGAUAACGUCCGGAAACAGGCGCUAAUACUGCAUACGUCCUGAGGGAGAAAGUGGGGGAUCUUCGGACCUCACGCUAUCAGAUGAGCCUAGGUCGGAUUAGCUAGUUGGUGGGGUAAAGGCCUACCAAGGCGACGAUCCGUAACUGGUCUGAGAGGAUGAUCAGUCACACUGGAACUGAGACACGGUCCAGACUACUACGGGGGGCAGCAGUGGGGAAUAUUGGACAAUGGGCGAAAGCCUGAUCCAGCCAUGCCGCGUGUGUGAAGAAGGUCUUCGGAUUGUAAAGCACUUUAAGUGGGGAGGAAGGGCAGUAAGUUAAUACCUUGCUGUUUUGACGUUACCAACAGAAUAAGCACCGGCUAACUUCGUG
rnacentral:rRNA from 1 species